rnacentral:rRNA from 1 species
AUGAUAACAAUCUCCGACUGCCCGAUAUGUGCCACGGAUUGUGAGAGUAUUCGUCAUUCUUUCUUUAGAUGCAACAGAGUGCAAGAGAUUUGGGCAAAAUUGGGCUUGCUUCCCACUGUAAGUGAGCUGUGCGAAACUGAGAUGGAGGGAUCUUCGGUCCUUGGUGACCUGUUGUUAAUGCCAAGUGUUGAUGUUCCGUCGCUCCCGGGUGUGCCCAUGAAGGAGCUGGUGGCUGUGGCGGUUUGGUAUAUAUGGUGGGAACGAUGAAGAUUCACCCAUGGUGAGCCCAUCCAAGAACCUAGAAGAUCGGCCCAAGCCAUUGUUACUUUGACCAAAAAUUUCUUGAGGGCAAGGAAGCAUGGUGCGGGCAGGAUACGAAGACAUGGAUGGACGAGACCAACAGAGGGAUUUGUUAGCCUCAAUAUCGACGCCUCUUUUGAUGCUGACAAUGGCACCGCAUCCAUGAGCAACAUCCCGUUUGUCCAAGACGCAGCGACAGCUGAGGCACGGGGCCUCAAGGAUGGGCUGGUUCUGGCAAACACCAUCGGCUGCAACAAGGUGGAGAUCAGGACGGAUUGUAUGGAGGUCAUCCAGAUAAUGCAAGACGGAGGCAAUUCCUUAGGACCAGCUGCAGCCAUCUAUGAGGAGUGUACUUUCUUGUGUCGUAAUUUUAUCUCUGUUAGUUUCUGUCAUUGCCCUAGGGAAGCUAAUAUGGCGGCUGAUCUUUUGGCUACUAAGUCGGAGCCCUCGCGAACUAUUGUGUGGCAGAACGAGGCUCCAGACUUUCUGCUCGAUGUAAUCACAAAUGAUGUAGCCCUAUUUUCACAUGAAAUAUAA